UAAAAUAACCGAUCUUAAAAGUGCUUUUAAGAUCGGUUACAAAAGAACCGAUCUUAAAAGUGACACUUUUAAGAUCGGUUAUUUUA
rnacentral:miRNA from 1 species